rnacentral:rRNA from 1 species
CCUACGGGGGGCAGCAGUCGAGAAUCAUUCACAAUGGGGGAAACCCUGAUGGUGCGACGCCGCGUGGGGGAAUGAAGGUCUUCGGAUUGUAAACCCCUGUCAUGUGGGAGCAAAUUAAAAAGAUAGUACCACAAGAGGAAGAGACGGCUAACUCUGUGCCAGCAGCCGCGGUAAUACAGAGGUCUCAAGCGUUGUUCGGAAUCACUGGGCGUAAAGCGUGCGUAGGCUGUUUCGUAAGUCGUGUGUGAAAGGCGCGGGCUCAACCCGCGGACGGCACAUGAUACUGCGAGACUAGAGUAAGGGAGGGGGGACCGGAAUUCUCGGUGUAGCAGUGAAAUGCGUAGAUAUCGAGAGGAACACUCGUGGCGAAGGCGGGUUCCUGGACAGUAACUGACGCUGAGGCACGAAGGCCAGGGGAGCGAAAGGGAUUAGAUACCCGAGUAGUC